ensembl:lncRNA
AAAUAUGCCAUAAACUUACAUUACAGCCUAAAUGGCCACAUAACGUUGGUUAGCAUGAGCUUAAUUGGAUAUAUGGUUGAAGUGCACUUAUUGUAAGUGGCUUUGGAUAAAAGCAUCAGCUAAAUGACAUGUAAUGUAAUGUAAUACCACCACGUGUCUCCAUGCAUGUGUAUGUCAAUGAAACUAAGUCAUACCUACUCUAACAAAAGAUUGAUGACAUUAUAUAUUUUGACCCCCUUUAAGGUUUAACCUUGAUUACUACUUAAUCGCUAAAAAAAGCUAGAGCUCCUCAAGUAGCAUAGAUCAUAAGAUUUGACUUCAUAUUAAGAAGAAAAUAAAGUUUCACAAACAGAAGAAAGUCAGGCAAAAUUAAAAUUAUGCAUUCGUCCAUUUCAUCUGUAAAUAUUCUGUCAGAAAGGAGAUCAUCAAAACAUCUGAAAGAAAUACCUCUAUUUAAAGUUGUGCUGUUGUUUAUCCAAUUAGUGUUAUCAAUAGAAAAUGCAUUGGUCAUAGUUUAUCGAUGGUAGUUCCCUUUAUCUCCGGCCCUGCAGCACUACGUGAUGAAUACAAGAGUUGUGGCAUUCUAAUUGAAUACGUUCAGAUUGAAGGCGUAUGUUUGAUGGAAGUUCUCGACUGGUCGUUGAUACCAAGGCAACAUCCUUCCUUUUACUCCUUUGGGGCAUCUCUAUAUUUCCCAGUGAACGGACAGAAAAGGGGUUUUAGAUGAAUGAAAUCCCAUUUCUUGAGCACACUUAAUGGAAGUAAUAAGUAGGUGGUACCAUUUAAUUACAUGUCUUGUUUUUAAUUAAAUGUAGUAACGUCUCGUUAUUAAGGCAAUGUGACAGAACCUUUUUACGAGCUGCUUUUCUACUUUGUCGUUUUCCCUGUCAGAGCAGGUGCUGCUCGGCCGGCGCUCUGUUGUCUCCAGUCUGACUCGGGGAAGACUGUGAAUUGUUUGUAACACUUCUACACAAGCUUUAGAUUUGUGGAUCCUCAUCCUUUGACCUGUGGCGCCACCUACUGGCUGAGAUGCGCAUCACUGCUCUGUGGCUGUUGGUUGAGACGCAUCGGAGCCCAGAUGCUGUUUCACAAUCCUUUCUUUCCCCCACUUUGACUUUGUGUUGAGCUUGUGAUGUUCAUAGUGCAGAAAUAAAUGCC